AUUGAACGCUGGCGGCAUGCCUUACACAUGCAAGUCGAACGGCAGCGGGGGAGAAGCUUGCUUUUCCUGCCGGCGAGUGGCGAACGGGUGAGUAAUACAUCGGAACGUGCCCUGUAGUGGGGGAUAACUAGUCGAAAGAUUAGCUAAUACCGCAUACGACCUGAGGGUGAAAGUGGGGGACCGCAAGGCCUCAUGCUAUAGGAGCGGCCGAUGUCUGAUUAGCUAGUUGGUGGGGUAAAGGCCUACCAAGGCGACGAUCAGUAGCUGGUCUGAGAGGACGAUCAGCCAGACGGGGACUGAGACACGGCCCAGACUCCUACGGGAGGCAGCAGUGGGGAAUUUUGGACAAUGGGCGAAAGCCUGAUCCAGCAAUGCCGCGUGUGUGAAGAAGGCCUUCGGGUUGUAAAGCACUUUUGUCCGGAAAGAAAUGGCUCUGGUUAAUACCUGGGGUCGAUGACGGUACCGGAAGAAUAAGGACCGGCUAACUACGUGCCAGCCGCCGCGGUAA
rnacentral:rRNA from 1 species